rnacentral:rRNA from 1 species
GAAUAUUGGACAAUGGGCGCAAGCCUGAUCCAGCCAUGCCGCGUGAGUGAAGAAGGCCCUCGGGUUGUAAAGCUCUUUUGUUGGGGAAGAAAAGCAAUCGGUCAAUACCCGGUUGUCCUGACGGUACCCAAAGAAUAAGCACCGGCUAACUUCGUGCCAGCAGCCGCGGUAAUACGAAGGGUGCAAGCGUUACUCGGAAUUACUGGGCGUAAAGCGUGCGUAGGUGGUUUGUUAAGUCUGAUGUGAAAGCCCUGGGCUCAACCUGGGAAUUGCAUUGGAUACUGGCAGGCUAGAGUGCGGUAGAGGAUGGCGGAAUUCCCGGUGUAGCAGUGAAAUGCGUAGAGAUCGGGAGGAACAUCCGUGGCGAAGGCGGCCAUCUGGACCAGCACUGACACUGAGGCACGAAAGCGUGGGGAGCAAACAG